rnacentral:rRNA from 1 species
UACGUAGGGUGCAAGCGUUGUCCGGAAUUAUUGGGCGUAAAGAGCGUGUAGGCGGCUUGAUUAGUCUGCUGUGAAAGUCCAGGGCUCAACCCUGGAAUGCCGGUGGAUACUGUCAAGCUAGAGUCCGGAAGGGGCGAGUGGAAUUCCUGGUGUAGCGGUGAAAUGCGCAGAUAUCAGGAGGAACACCGGUGGCGAAGGCGGUUCUCUGGGCCUGUUCUGACGCUGAGGAGCGAAAGCGUGGGGAGCGAACAGG